rnacentral:lncRNA from 1 species
GGAGACGGAUGAAUCUUAACAAACAUUAGAAAGCUCAACACAACAAUGCCAAGUUUGUGACAAUACAAAGGAGAGCAUUUUUCAAAAACAAAAUACAUAAGCAGAAUCAUAUAAAUAUUUCUUUCGGGAGAAUAGUAUAAGGGUAGAUUUGGAUGGGCGAUUGGGUGCGGUGCUGUGCGUUUAGCUUACUUUUUGUCUCACGCUACAGUAUCUAAUCUCACCGUCACCGCUGUUUUUACACUAACCGCAGGUAAACACACUGCCGAUCCAAACUCACCCUAAGUCACUAAGCGUUAGAUGCUUACAUGAAGGUGAUUGCACUGAUGGUGACUGAGCAAGGGGUGCAGAAACUGGGCCCUUCACGCUGUCUAUACCCUGGCCCGGAUGAGACCCAUAAGACACUGAAGGUAAUGGUGGUAGAUCUGGGGACAGCUGUGACGUGGAAUGUGGAUGAUGAGGAGUUAGGUUAGAAUGAGAUCUUGGAGUGGCAGGGCGAGAGUAUGGACAGGGGGGAGGAGCUAUAGUAGAGGGUGCAGGAGAAAUCAGAGGAGGAAAAGAAGGGUAGGGACCACUUUCAGGACCUGGUGAAUGCAGGGGACUAUUACCAGAUGGAGAAGCAGCUUUACACUUACGGCAAGGUUGGGGAUGAUGACUCUUGGGUGAUGAUGCUGGAGGAUGAGUAGGCCUAAAAGAAGGAUGUGGGGAAAUAGAUGGCUCUGGAGAUGGAGCUGGUGAAGCAGUGGGAGCAGUAGCAUGAAGUGUACCCUUGAGAUAAGAUGAUAAACUAAUGCUUUUAACUUUACCAAAGACUGAGUUAUUAAGACCAAGAUUCUUAGCAGGAGACUCUGUGAUGGUUUGAGCCAAUUGCUUUAAUCUCUGAGGCAGAAGGUUACCAAAAUCAGAUGAUGUCACUGAAGCCUGAAUGAUGACUAGGGAGGAUAUCGUCGACCCUUUUUGGUUUGUUAAUUGCACAAACAAAUUCUGCAAUUAAAAAUAAUAAUAAUUAUUAGCUAGUACCAUAAAUAGGAAUCAAACAUUAGGACAUAUGCUCUUCCCUCCAAACUCCCAAUUUCUGGUCCACUGCAAUGAAGAAACUUCAAGGGUUUAAUUUCCUAAACUCGGGCUAAGAUGCAGUUACUAAUAAAUGAUUUGACAGUUAUACCUAUAUCCUAGGAGCUGCUAAUCAAGAGUGUUAAUACAGUUAACACAGAACACUUAAGAUGCAGUGUCUUUCUUUAUCCUUUUUGAGAAUCAAUUUACUAUUAUUCAACAAUUCAAUUGAUUUUGAAUAAUUGGGUAGCAAGAAAUCUUCCAAUUCCCACUUCCAAACACUAUUAGAUCAGAUCUGAGGUCAUGGGAAUGGUAGUGUGAUACUACCAUAGAUCCACCCAAAAACCAAAUAUUGGUGAAAUCAAAAUGCGCAAGUGUUGCUAGAAACAGAUACCAUACCUCAUAAGGUCUCAGACGCAGGCCAUAUUUCAGCUGAUCUUUUAACUGAAUGAAGUUGGCCAGUAUUUCAGCUAUAGAAUUAUUCAGAGUAAAAUUAAAUAGCAUUUGGGUUAUGGGCCAGAUGAAAGCAGGUUGUACAGGGAUUACAGUGAUGCCCUUAGGAAACUUCAAAAUCUCAAACUUAGAAGGCUGCCCGAAAAUUGAAGUAGUCAAAGUCAGAUUGGAUUGUUGAAGGAACAGCUCAAUUAAAGAUGAUCUCAGCACACUUAGAGAUACUGGGUUUAUUGGACUACUUAUGGGGUCGGAAAGAAGGCCAAACACCACAUCAGUAGAGUUAGAUGCACCUGACUGGUGCAUGGAUAAGACAACCACCUGUGAAAAUGAGUAAAUUUAGAUCAACUUCUCACAUAAUGGGGCAGUAAAUACAUGUAAAUAUAAAUGGCAUAAGAUGGGUGUAAAACCUUAGUAGCCGGCAUGCCUAUUUCUUCAUAGAUAUCAUAUUCUAACUUUUCAACAUACCGAACAAGCUCUGAAACUGGUUUCUGAAGUUUAAAGUAUGCACGAACUGAGGCUGCAAAGCAUAAAUGAAUGCAUGUAAGUAACAAACAAGGAAAAUUACUAGUAUUUCACUAAGCAUUUAGACCAAAGUCACCAAAUCAGGAAAGGCUAAUUCUAAAUAAGGAACUGAUGUCCGUUAUCUUAAUUUGACAGCUCCAUUAAAAAAUGAAGUAACAUGCCAAGAAAGGCCAUUGAGUUCAAUAGAGAACUGAAUACUCGUAUGAUGGCACAUGAUCUUGCAAAAGAUUACCAGUUUCUAUGUGAUCAACUGUUUAUCAAUUUAUGGUAUGAAAAAAACAAUCACCACAGAUCCUUGCCUCAAACAUUUGAGAUUUUUGUUUAAAAGAAAAAAAAAAGGGAGGGGGGGGGGGAGGGGAUUAACGCAUUGAAACAAGCCAUUAACCGUUUCCCCUGUAACAAAAAGGAGAAAUACUCUAAAAAUAGAAAAAAAAAUCACUUUCUAUUAUACUUGAACCAGGCUUUAAACAUAAAAUUGAAUAUAUAGAUACACACAUAUAGUUCCAAUUUAGAAAUCAAUAAAGAACCUGCCCUCACAGUAAUAGCAGUAGAAGGUGAAGUACAUGCAUACCUAUUUACCCAAAGAAUUAGCAGAAACCAAUAAAACAACAAGGCAAAAUAAAUAACAUCCGAAAACCCGAAAGGUAUGAAAGAAAAACAAGGGAAAACCCACAUUUUAGAAUAUCAAAACUCCAGAUUUAAAAGAUAGAUUUCGAAUCUACAAAAUGAAAUAUAAUCAAGUGCAAUUACAAGAGGAGCCAACCAAGAACCCUAAUUGAAGCACAAAGGUGAAAUAGAUAUCAAUCAGGGAAAUACCCAUUAGUCCUCGACAGUUGAGGAUCCAAUUAAAACAACAAAAAGUGCAAAGAAAAUUAACAUAAGCGCAAUUAUCGGAGAUACCGUAAAAACCCUAAUCAAACAGAAAAGAAAAAAACCGCUUCAAUGAUCAAACCCUAGUCAAACAAAUAAAACGAGAGACUAAAUUAAAAUUUUAAAAAGAAAAGAAAAACCUACCGCUGAGCUUAAUAGCUUGUUUGGCAUCAAAUCCAGUGGUUAUAGAACGGUAAGGAAGGAUCCAGAAGAUCCCUGGCAACAAAACCGACAAACUAAGAAACAAAACAAAAACACAUUUGAAACUGAGGUCGUUUGAAAGCCUUGAGAAAAGCAUCCAACAGCUCCCUGGACGCCCUUGAUCAUUCCCUGAUUCAAGAUUCUGCUCUCUUUGCUGCAGAUCUGGGUCCUCAUUUUUCCCCAUUGAAAGAGCAUCUGGAAGAGCACAAAGAAAAGCUAAAGACUUCUCUCUCUCUCUCUCUCUAACUCACUGGCCCUGGGUCCUUCUCUUCUUUUGAACUUUAGCUCUCUAGAAAACUCACUCUAUCACCAACAACAGCAACAAAGAAUAACUUUGCAAAGGGUUGAAGCGUGUGGAUCGAAAGACAAGCGUUAAUGGUGGGCAUAUGCCCUCUGCCUCUCUCGCUCUCUCUCUGUCUAUUAACUACAAAAUUGUUACACACUGCCUUUUCUCUUUCUCUCUCUCUCUAACGCUAACCUUUUUCACUUUCAUUUUAUUUCACAAGCUUUUAAUUGAGUUGAAAUUACAGGAUUCAAUUUUAGUGUUACUUGCUGUUGAAUUAUUUUUAUAGAGUAAUAAAUAUUAUAUUUAUUUUAUUCAAACACAUUAGGGUAUUAUUUUUACGUGCACCCAUAGUAAUACUAUAAUAAUUCCCAAUUAACUGACAAUAUAUUUCUAAAAUAUUUGGUGGUAAAACAAGUAUCUUCUCUUUCACUUUUCAUUUCAUCUAAGCUAAUUCUUUAUAAUAAAAUAAUUUUAAUUUUAAUUUUAUUUAAAAAUAAAAAUAUUUUCAUGCCAACUUAAUAAUAAAUAAGUUUUUUUUUAAAAAAAAAGGUAUUUUGGUUGGUGCCACUAUGAAGUGGACAAUGUGUCAUAAAACAAAAAACAAAAGGGUCACUUGCUUGGAGGAGAAAUUUUUUAAAAUAAUUAUAUUAUUUUCCAUUUAUGUAAUUUGGGUUUCACUCAGGGCAGGUCGACCAAUAUUGGACAUGCACGUGGACCAAUAAUAAGUCAAGGAUCUCCUUUAUAAUCAAUUAGAAUAAUUAUGCGACAUAUAUUAAAGAUGUGAUGUCUAUUUGAUUGCACAAUAGUUACCAACACUAGUGUAAUCUUCUUCUACAAGUCUUCUUCUUUUACAUAUAUAUAUAAUCUCUUUAAUCUUAUCAUAACAUAAUAAAAUACACUAACAUAACCAACAUAUAUGAAUUACAAUAAAAUGAAUGACAAAGUUUUUUUUUCCUCUCUAUUUUUCUUAAAUUUUUUUUUAUUUUUUUAGUCAAUUUUACCAUCAAAUCCUUUUGAUUUUGUAAAGGAUUAAAGUUUUUUCAUACAUUUUGUUUUUAUUCUAUUUAAAAAUGUAUGUAUUAUCUUCUAAUUAUUAUUUAUAAAAAUUUUAUAUUUUUCUUUAUGUAAAGGUAUGUUUAAUAAAUCAUGUAAAAUUUUCAGUUCAUUAAAAAUAAAAAUUUCUAAUAUUUAAUAUUUUAAAUAUGUCUGAUAAUCAUUUUGAUUUUUUACUUAAUAUAAAAUUUUUAACAAAAAAGUGUUGAAUAAGAUAAAUACGUAAAUAGAUACUUAUCACUUAAAGUAGAAAAUAUUAAGUUUAUUUUAUUUUAUUAAAAAUCUAAAUAAAUUAUAUAUUUUUAAAAUUUUUUUGAAAUGACCAUACUUAUCUUUUAUUUAAAACUGUCUAAAAUAAUAUAAAAUAUUAUAUUAAUAAGAUUAAAAUUAAAUAAUAAUUAAUAUUUUUAAAUUAAUAUUUGCUUUUAUUAAACAACAUAAUUACAUUCCGUAUUUAUAUUUACUAGCUUACCAAAUAAUUUUCUAAUAUAAAUUUAUCACUUAUAAAAUUUAAAAGUAAAAAUUUAGUACUCAACUUUUGAGCACUUAAAUUUUUAGUUUAUCAAAUAUACCCUACAAUAGUUUUUAUUUUUGUUAAAGUUUGAGUUUUAUAGGUAAGACUUGAAUUUUUUAAAAUAAUAUAAAAAAUACUUAUAUAUAUUUGAAAAAAGUUUUUUUUUUUGGAAUAUCGUUUUUUUGGCAUGGUGUCAAGAUUGUAGCAAGGUCAAAUCUCUACAAAAUUUAUGUAAUAUGGUUUUCUUUGUAGUGCAUUUAGCUUACUUUUUGUCUCACGCUACAGUAUCUAAUCUCACC